rnacentral:rRNA from 1 species
GGUUAAGCGACUAAGCGUACACGGUGGAUGCCCGGGCAGUCAGAGGCGAUGAAGGACGUGCUAAUCUGCGAUAAGCGUCGGUGAGGUGAUAUGAACCGUUAUAACCGG